rnacentral:tRNA from 1 species
AGCAGGGUGGCUCAGCGAAAGAGCACAGGCUUGGGUGUCAGAGGUCAUGGGUUCGAAUCCCAGCUCUGCCA